rnacentral:rRNA from 1 species
CCCGAACGGUGGAUCACUCGGCUCGCGGAUCGAUGAAGACCGCACCCCGCGCUUCCCCGAGGCCCCCGCGCCCUCACACUUCCGACCUCGGAUCAGGCGAGACU